ACGCUGGCGGCAGGCCUAACACAUGCAAGUCGAGCGGUAGAGAGAAGCUUGCUUCUCUUGAGAGCGGCGGACGGGUGGGUAAUGCCUAGGAAUCUGCCUGGUAGUGGGGGAUAACGUUCGGAAACGGACGCUAAUACCGCAUACGUCCUACGGGGGAAAGCAGGGGACCUUCGGGCCUUGCGCUAUCAGAUGAGCCUAGGUCGGAUUAGCUAGUUGGUGAGGUAAUGGCUCACCAAGGCGACGAUCCGUAACUGGUCUGAGAGGAUGAUCAGUCACACUGGAACUGAGACACGGUCCAGACUCCUACGGGAGGCAGCAGUGGGGAAUAUUGGACAAUGGGCGAAAGCCUGAUCCAGCCAUGCCGCGUGUGUGAAGAAGGUCUUCGGAUUGUAAAGCACUUUAAGUUGGGAGGAAGGGUUGUAGAUUAAUACUCUGCAAUUUUGACGUUACCGACAGAAUAAGCACCGGCUAACUCUGUGCCAGCAGCCGCGGUAAUACAGAGGGUGCAAGCGUUAAUCGGAAUUACUGGGCGUAAAGCGCGCGUAGGUGGUUUGUUAAGUUGGAUGUGAAAUCCCCGGGCUCAACCUGGGAACUGCAUUCAAAACUGACUGACUAGAGUAUGGUAGAGGGUGGUGGAAUUUCCUGUGUAGCGGUGAAAUGCGUAGAUAUAGGAAGGAACACCAGUGGCGAAGGCGACCACCUGGACUAAUACUGACACUGAGGUGCGAAAGCGUGGGGAGCAAAC
rnacentral:rRNA from 1 species